GACGAACGCUGGCGGCGUGCUUAACACAUGCAAGUCGAACGGUGAACCCGGAGCUUGCUCCGGUGGAUUAGCGGCGAACGGGUGAGUAACACGUGAGUAACCUGCCCUUGACUCUGGGAUAACUGCGGGAAACUGUAGCUAAUACCGGAUACGACCCUCGGCGGCAUCGCCAGGGGGUGGAAAGAAUUUCGGUCAAGGAUGGACUCGCGGCCUAUCAGCUAGUUGGUGAGGUAACGGCUCACCAAGGCGACGACGGGUAGCCGGCCUGAGAGGGUGACCGGCCACACUGGGACUGAGACACGGCCCAGACUCCUACGGGAGGCAGCAGUGGGGAAUAUUGCACAAUGGGCGCAAGCCUGAUGCAGCAACGCCGCGUGAGGGAUGACGGCCUUCGGGUUGUAAACCUCUUUUAGUAGGGAAGAAGCGAAAGUGACGGUACCUGCAGAAAAAGCACCGGCUAACUACGUGCCAGCAGCCGCCGUAA
rnacentral:rRNA from 1 species